rnacentral:rRNA from 1 species
AGUGGCGAACGGGUGAGUAAUAUAUCGGAACGUACCCAAGAGUGGGGGAUAACGUAGCGAAAGUUACGCUAAUACCGCAUACGAUCUAAGGAUGAAAGCAGGGGACCGCAAGGCCUUGUGCUCCUGGAGCGGCCGAUAUCUGAUUAGCUAGUUGGUGAGGUAAAGGCUCACCAAGGCGACGAUCAGUAGCUGGUCUGAGAGGACGACCAGCCACACUGGAACUGAGACACGGUCCAGACUCCUACGGGAGGCAGCAGUGGGGAAUUUUGGACAAUGGGCGCAAGCCUGAUCCAGCAAUGCCGCGUGAGUGAAGAAGGCCUUCGGGUUGUAAAGCUCUUUUGUCAGGGAAGAAACGGUAGAGGCUAAUAUCCUUUGCUAAUGACGGUACCUGAAGAAUAAGCACCGGCUAACUACGUGCCAGCAGCCGCGGUAAUACGUAGGGUGCAAGCGUUAAUCGGAAUUACUGGGCGUAAAGCGUGCGCAGGCGGUUUUGUAAGUCUGUCGUGAAAUCCCCGGGCUCAACCUGGGAAUUGCGAUGGAGACUGCAAGGCUAGAAUCUGGCAGAGGGGGGUAGAAUUCCACGUGUAGCAGUGAAAUGCGUAGAGAUGUGGAGGAACACCGAUGGCGAAGGCAGCCCCCUGGGUCAAGAUUGACGCUCAUGCACGAAAGCGUGGGGAGCAAACAGGAUUAGAUACCCUGGUAGUCCACGCCCUAAACGAUGUCUACUAGUUGUCGGGUUUUAAUUAACUUGGUAACGCAGCUAACGCGUGAAGUAGACCGCCUGGGGAGUACGGUCGCAAGAUUAAAACUCAAAGGAAUUGACGGGGACCCGCACAAGCGGUGGAUGAUGUGGAUUAAUUCGAUGCAACGCGAAAAACCUUACCUACCCUUGACAUGGCAGGAAUCCCGGAGAGAUUUGGGAGUGCUCGAAAGAGAACCUGCACACAGGUGCUGCAUGGCUGUCGUCAGCUCGUGUCGUGAGAUGUUGGGUUAAGUCCCGCAACGAGCGCAACCCUUGUCAUUAGUUGCUACGAAAGAGCACUCUAAUGAGACUGCCGGUGACAAACCGGAGGAAGGUGGGGAUGACGUCAAGUCCUCAUGGCCCUUAUGGGUAGGGCUUCACACGUCAUACAAUGGUACAUACAGAGGGCCGCCAACCCGCGAGGGGGAGCUAAUCCCAGAAAGUGUAUCGUAGUCCGGAUUGUAGUCUGCAACUCGACUACAUGAAGUUGGAAUCGCUAGUAAUCGCGGAUCAGCAUGUCGCGGUGAAUACGUUCCCGGGUCUUGCA